UUGAGGGAAACAGCUUAAUAGUGGAAUGUACGAAAACCUACCUGUUUCCUUUGUAAGACUCUAGACAGAGAGAUCCAUGCCUGCAAUUCAAGUAAAAGAAAGCCAUUUUAGAAUCUGGAGUUUGUCUUCUUGUAGAUAGAAUAAUGUUAUGAACUGAAUGUUUGUGUCCCCUCCACCUCCAUUCAUAUGUUGAAAUCCUCAAUGUGAUGGUUCUAGGAGGUGGGGUCUUUGGGAGUCUAUUAGUUCGUGAGGGUGAAGCCCUCACAAGUGAGAUUAGUGUCCUUAUAAAAGGGGCCCCAGGGCUGUGGUGGCGGCGGUGGAGGCUGAGGCGGCGGCUGAGGUGGCGACGGAAGAAACAGAAGAUGGCAGAUUUUUUGAAAGGACUGCCUGUCUACAACAAAAUCAAUGUUUGUCUAUUUCACGCGGACUCCGAUGCAAAACCUCGAACCGACGGCCCUCAGUCUACCUGCCCACCCGAGAAUACCCGUCUGAACAGAUCAUCGUGACCGAAAAGGCAAACAUCCUCCUGUGCUACCUGCAUCAGCAAUGGAUAAAAAGAACGCUGCCAAUAAGAGAGACCAGAAGCAAGGGGAACUGGAAGGCGAGAGUUCGGCGCCCCUCCGCAAGGUGGCGCGGAUCGACAGCUCAAACGUGCAGGAGGACACUACCCCACAGGCGUGUCCUGCCGGGUCUGCUCCUCGGUCGCUCACCCGCCCGCCUCCCGGCCUGCGCAUUCACAGCCUGCGUCCACACCAUUUCCAACCUCAUAGGAGCCGACGUAUUUAUUUUUCUUGGGUUUUUAUUUAUGCUGUAACCUGUAUCAAGCGUUGGUUAAAGGGGACAUCAGACCCAGUAGUGUGAUGCUGGUAGAUGCUUUUUUCAAAAAAAGCCACAUUGUCCCUCCGACCCCCACCUUCCGCCUGUUCAGUUCCCCCACUCCCGCCCCCAGUUCUCCAGAGAACCAGAGCGUGCCUCUGAGGGUCUCUAGCGAGACUUCACUGUGGCCAGGCGGCAGGGGCGGGCCCGGG